GGGAUAUUUCCUCCCCUGCUCCAAAUUUUACAUUGGAUGGCCAUUUGAAAGGUGUGAACUGCGUUGAGUACUUCACAGGUGGCGAUGAACCAAAAAUCUGUGGUUCUGAUGAUUUUUCUGCUAAGGUGUGGGACUCUCAAAGCAAAAGUUGUUUGCAAACACUAGAGGGCCACACACACAAUGUUACCUCAGUAUGUGUUCAUCCCAAGCUUCCCAUAAUUAUUACUGGUUCCGAGGAUGGGACUAUUCACAUAUGGCAUGCAACAACCUAUAGGCUUGAGAAUACAUUAAACUAUGAUCUUGGAAGAGUUUGGGCAAUUGGAUACAAGAAAGGAUCAAACCAGAUUGUAUUUGGUUGUGACAAUGGAACUAUUAUGGUUAAUAUGAAAAGUACUUGAGGUUCUCUGAACCUACAAGUUGAGGAGGAAGAGUUGGAGGAAUUGAUUCAUCUACUACUGCUGCUACAAAUAGUAU